CCCUCUCUCUCUCUACUUUCUGUGUGUGUUGUCAUGGCUGGGAGGAAGAAAUUCUAUUCUUGCAUGCUUGUUGUUGUGCUAAUUCUUGCUAAUGAAUAUCUUUCAUCACAGGGAAGAUAUUUGAAAGCAGAGAAGUUCAAAUCUGGGGGAUGUAGAGAAUGCGCAGAGCGAGGUGACAGCAACAUCCAAGGAACGGCAAG
rnacentral:lncRNA from 1 species